GAGAAUGGGAAUCACCUGUAGACUUUGCCCUCUUGAGUAGGAACACGUGCGGCACGUGACCAUAACGGAGGGAAAAAGGAGGCCCUGGUUUGUAAGGAGGGACAGAGAUGUUGGCAGGCAGUUCUGUGUUCCAGUUCACCUGGAUUGGAAGGCCAGAGAAAUCAGUGGGCUGGUCCAGACCCUCCAUGCUGCUGUCAUCCUCUGAUGUGUCAGUUGAUGGUUCUCUCACCUUAAGGUCUCCCUGGAUCAGGAAGGAUUGUAUCAUGAAUCCACUCUCACAAUUGAGUCCUGCAGACCACAGUGAACAAUUCUGCCCCAAGACCCACAGCCAACCCCAGAUCCAACCCCAGAAAAAGAGAGGCCAGGAAGGUCACCACCCAGAGCGGUGUGACUCUAACCUACACUUGCAAUCUCAUCUCAUUGUUUGGACUCCAGAACUUAACAACAAGGCUACUUUACAUAAAUGUGAGUGCAAUAGCAGGUAGCCUAUGAAUCGCAGGUGUUUCAUAUAUGAGAUGAGGACAUGGCUGCAGUCGAGGCCGAAACCAGCACAUCCAUUGCAAGUAGACUUUGACAAUUUAAUUUUACUUAACAUUAUUAUUGAGAUUUGGAUGUGUUCCUUCCGACUCUGAUGAACCCAAGGUGCUACAUGUAAUUUGUCACCGCUACGCUGCAAUAAACUUCUUCAUCGAGAUCUUCAAUGUCUUCAUCAUUUUUUCUUACAUUGGCGAGCCACCCAGCGAGGGAUUUCUGAAAAAAGUGCUGAAAGGUAAGCUGUUUUCUUUCUUUUCUUUCUCGUUUAAAAAAUCUAGAAAGGACAGAACAGAAUUUGGUUUAUUCAGUAUUAGCAGGAGUUCUUAAGCCUAUUCUGUACAAUUUUGUUUAAGAUUCUGACAGAACUGAAUCAGCCCAAUGCAGUGUGUUGGUAGAGUUGUAUUGGAAUUGUUGGAAUUGUUUGGUCUCUUAUAAUUCUGUUAAGAUUCUAAAGCAACUGAAUCAUCCUGACGCAGUGUGAUGGCAGAGUUGUAUUAGAUUUGUUUUUUCUAAAGUAAUUGAAACAAAGUGGUAAGUUUCUAACACAACUGAAAGUUAGUGUAUUGUUGUUUUAUUUCUGAUGAUAUUCUAAAGUAACUGAAUUCACCCAAUGCAGUGUGGUCACAGAAUUAUUUCUUUAUUUGAAAGAAUAACUGAAGCGCACUAUAAUGUAGCGAGUCUGAUGCACAGCAACUGAAAUUUAAAACAAUAACCUGAAGCAGUGUGGUUUUGGCAGUGUUUUAAAUUUCAUAAACUGUUAAGCCCGAAGUACUGUGGCUAGGUACAGUUGUGAAAAACUGUGGCUAGGUACAGGAGAAAAACAUUUAUUUCAUAAUUGCAGGGAAUUAUGAAAUAAAUAAUUUCAAUUCUUUUCCUUCAAUGAAAGGUUAGAUUUUUGCUACUUUUAUGAAUUAAAGAUCAAAAGGAUAAACAAUGCAGAUUUAUUUUUACAGUCAUCUUUGAUCAUAUUUACCAAGGGUGCCAAUAAUUCUGACCACAGCUGUAUGAGGUUUUGUCCAACUUUUUUAACUAUUUAGAGUAGUGAGGUUUUAGGUCCAAUUGAGUUCAUUUGCAUCUGAAUUAGACUAAAGGUUAUCUUAAAGCAACUAGAUAUGGAAAGAAGAAAAGAUCAGAAUGCAGAAUGAGAUUGCAUUUCUUAGACCUGACAAUGACGUGCUUAAAUCUUCUGUGGAAACAUUGGCCAACAAUUUGGCGGAAACAAAGGCAGCAUGUGAGUUUAUGAUCAAUAAUGGCAUAACUGAGAAAAACACCAGUAAGACAUUGUUAGGUGUCACAUUGGGUAACCCAGUUCCAGAAAUGCCAGAUUUGCAGGAAUAAAGCUCUGAGGGUUGGGAAAGAGAUUCUCAGUCAUUCAGUAGUCAAAACUCUUACUGUACAGUUAGAUUUCCCUUGGCACCAGUUCAUGCUACUACAUCUGUGUGUGGUCAGAAGUUUUAAUCCAACUGAACUAGAAACUGGGAUCAAGAAUUUUGGGAAAUUUGAUUCUGCCAAACAAGAUCCAUUAGAUUUUCUGAAAAACUUGGAGGAAUAUGUUGAGAUUUACAAAUUUACAGAUGGUGAUGCAUGUGUUUUGUUAAGAAUGUGCUUGCCUGACACUUUGUCUGGAGCCUUAACUCAGAAAGUAAAGGACAGAACUGCAAAUAAGUCAGAGAGGAAACAGGCACUGCUUGAGGGCUUAAGUCCGAAACUCACCAAGCUGACGCAGAUGAACUAGUGGCGACGAAAGCAGACUGCGGGGUUGGCUCAAGUUGGCAGCGUCUGGGUCCAAAGUUGCCCUGACACACCAAACCGACGCUCGACACCCGACUGCCAAGUAGCACGUCCGUUCUGCGCCUGUGUAAGAAGAAAUGCCUUUCCGUACCAGCAGGUGGCAGUAGCUGAACAGCCAAUCAGAAUGAUCAGAUGGCCUGACUGACCAACAAGCUCAGACGCCGAUUCAGCAUGUCAAAUCGGCCGGGAAAAAGGCGGCCAACUUCAGCCGACGGUGCGGAACACGCUGAGAAAACUUGAAAAAAAACUGCCCGACGGCUGACCGUCAGCUUGGUGUGUUCCAGGCUUUUGGUGUGAUGUCAGUUAAUUGGGAUAAAAUAUCUGAGAUGCACAUGAGCAAAGGGAAGCACCCAUCGGCGUUUUCAGAACGAUUCUUGGAGACAUUUAAAACAUUCAGUGGCAAUCCUGACAUUACUGAGAAUUAUGUCCGUUUCAAGUCUGCCUUGAUUAACAAAUGUAACCCACUUACUCGCUCUGCUGUGUCAAUGCUACUGACACCUCUCUCUGAAUAUAAUGACUUUUAUUGGUAAAAUUACAGUUAACAAUAAUAAUGCUAAUGCAAAUAGUCAAAUGGAAGAUGCCAAAUCUAGAUAUCAAGUUGCUGCCUUUGGCAUAAGAGAACGUUCUAGAUUAUCUGAUGGUUUCCAUCAUAGACCAAGGAGAUUUGUAAGAGUAAAUUCAAAAGGUGUUAUUCUUUGCUAUGCAUGUGGAAAAACUGGUCACAUUGCUAGACAUUGUCAAGACAAUGAGAGGCCUCUUCAAAGCUUUGUCUGUCAUGCAUGUGGAAGGGAAGGUCACAUUGCAAGGCAUUGUUUGGAGAAAAGAAGGGAAGAUCAGGAGGUUGUUUGUUUUGCAUGUAGAAAGAUAGGACACAAGGCAAGGCAGUGUCACUUUUCACAUGAAAGAUGGGCUAUCGCAAUUUGCUUAAGAAAAUAGGCAAUUUAGAAACUCAGUUGGCACUGUUGAAAGGAAAUAAAGAAGAAGCCAUUCACACCUCUUCAUUUUGAUUCUUGUUUCAGAUAUAAGCAUUGAGAUGUUUGUCUGGAAUGGGUAACCUCCUGGAGAAAGAUGAUCUGGCUGUUCGAGGAACAAGAAGGCCAGUUGAACCAGUGGAGCCAUGGGACAUUCUCAAGAAAAAGAACAGUGAUCCAUGAUCUAGAAACCCAGAGAUUCCCAGACCGGGAUGAUCUACCUAAAAGAAACCCUCAGACCCACCAUGGGAUGGAUGGAACUGAUAGAGUGACACAGACUCAAACAACAACAGUGACUGAUUCUUCUAGAAGGACUUAUGGUCCAAGUGGAAAAGAAUGGACAAUGAGAAACAAGAGGAGAUCAAACCAGUUCAGAGACUACGGACAGACGUCUUCCCAUCUAGAUAGAAAACAAGUGGAAAAAAGGACAUACCCACACUGAGAGAUGCACAAAUAAACAGACUCACUUCACAUGAAGAGAUACAUAUAUAUACAUACUGAUUUGCAUUAGAUAUAUCAUUGUCUAUUGGAUGCACACAUGUGGCUAAAGGAUGCCCACACUGAGAAAAUGGACACGAUACACAUGACAAAAUGAAAAAGCAUGCACACAGACACACACAUUAUAUUGUCUAUUGAUUGUUGAUUGUUUGAGUUAUCACAACUAAACAAUAUACUAAUAUCACUGAGGCAAUGGAAUGAAGGCCACAUUAUGAAAGUCCAUCAAGGCCUUGAAGAAAAAGUCAAGAUUUUGAAAAAACAAAUGCAUGUUGGAGACUUAGCUAUUGCCUAUUCUGGUUUAAUUUGGGAUGUAACCUUUAAAACAGCUGUAUGUGUAUGUAUCUUCCUUAUUUUUAUUAUUAAUAUAUUUAAAUGUCAAAUUGCAGAUAACUUGGCUGUGAUGGUCCUUGAAUGUCUUCUCACCCAAACCCAAGAAAAUGUUUGUAUUUCAUAUUGCCAAAUUUGAUAAGAGUCUCUUUGAUAAUUCUGCCCAGUUGGAUGGAGCUGUAACCAGUGUGCAUGAGGUGAUGACCCAAUGACGGGUAAGAUUCUCCGGUGGCCAGCGGAGGACAAUCUAAGGCAGGGCUUCACUGCCAACUGGGCACCUGCCCAAUUGGGAAGGGAGGUGCAAUCUGUGAAAAGGGAGUGGAUGUGAUGCUUCUGUUGGGCCAAGAGCAUCAAAGGGGGAACUAUAAGAAAUUGCAGUCUGCCCCAACCCAGAUUCCACUCCCAAGUAUAUUUUAGAAUGAGCUCAUCCUCAAAAUGGCUUAAUUAUCAUAGAGAAGAAGAAAGUCAACUGUGAUAUUGUUUAUGUACCAUUAGGGUUGAUCACAUCCUGAGCAAAUGGUCAUCAAUUGUAGAAUGGGAAUGGGUAUGAGAUACAGAGAACCAUCUCAGAUAUUGAGGUGUCACAACUUCAUUAACAUACAGACCACAGAAACUCACAUUAUGAAAUGUUUGAAAUGUCAUAAAAAAUGUUUUUAUGAAAUGUUUUUCUCCAAUACAUGUUGGCCACAAUUAUUGGCACCCCUAGAAAUUCUUAUGAGUACAGUA